AAGGUUUUAAGUUAAAAAAACUAAUAGCCUUCAAAGCUGUAAAUAUAAGACAUACCUUUUAAAUCUUA
rnacentral:tRNA from 1 species